rnacentral:rRNA from 1 species
AUUGAACGCUGGCGGCAGGCCUAACACAUGCAAGUCGAGCGGAUGAAGGGAGCUUGCUCCUGGAUUCAGCGGCGGACGGGUGAGUAAUGCCUAGGAAUCUGCCUGGUAGUGGGGGAUAAUGUCCGGAAACGGGCGCUGAUACCGCAUACGUCCUGAGGGAGAAAGUGGGGGAUCUUCGGACCUCACGCUAUCAGAUGAGCCUAGGUCGGAUUAGCUAGUUGGUGGGGUAAAGGCCUACCAAGGCGACGAUCCGUAACUGGUCUGAGAGGAUGAUCAGUCACACUGGAACUGAGACACGGUCCAGACUCCUACGGGAGGCAGCAGUGGGGAAUAUUGGACAAUGGGCGAAAGCCUGAUCCAGCCAUGCCGCGUGUGUGAAGAAGGUCUUCGGAUUGUAAAGCACUUUAAGUUGGGAGGAAGGGCAGUAAGUUAAUACCUUGCUGUUUUGACGUUACCAACAGAAUAAGCACCGGCUAACUUCGU